rnacentral:rRNA from 1 species
UGGGAAUUUUGGACAAUGGGCGCAAGCCUGAUCCAGCCAUGCCGCGUGCGGGAAGAAGGCCUUCGGGUUGUAAACCGCUUUUGUCAGGGAAGAAAUCUUCUGAGUUAAUACCUCGGGAGGAUGACGGUACCUGAAGAAUAAGCACCGGCUAACUACGUGCCAGCAGCCGCGGUAAUACGUAGGGUGCAAGCGUUAAUCGGAAUUACUGGGCGUAAAGCGUGCGCAGGCGGUUUUGUAAGACAGAGGUGAAAUCCCCGGGCUCAACCUGGGAACUGCCUUUGUGACUGCAAGGCUUGAGUGCGGCAGAGGGGGAUGGAAUUCCGCGUGUAGCAGUGAAAUGCAUAGAUAUGCGGAGGAACACCGAUGGCGAAGGCAAUCCCCUGGGCCUGCACUGACGCUCAUGCACGAAAGCGUGGGGAGCAAACAGGAUUAGAUACCCUGGUAGUCCACGCCCUAAACGAUGUCAACUGGUUGUUGGGAAGGUUCCUUCUCAGUAACGUAGCUAACGCGUGAAGUUGACCGCCUGGGGAGUACGGCCGCAAGGUUGAAACUUAAAUGAAUUGACGGGGUCAUAGCUGUUUCCUG